rnacentral:rRNA from 1 species
GAGUCGGACAGUGCAAGGUGGCCCCAUUUGCGUGCGUGGCUCCGGUUACAAUCGCGGUGGCGGAUCAACCCCUUGCGCCAAACUGUCCGCUCUAACAGGCCGAAACGGUUCCCUGUGAGUAGGACCCUUCACGGGGUUCGAAAGCGCCUACGCAUCCACCAUAUGCAUACGGGACGUCGGCCAAUGUUACUGUGAACAAACCAGCGUGUCCAAAGCAGGCCUCCGCCUGAAUGUUCGAGCAUGGAAUAACAAGGGAUCGAUUCUCUCGAUUCUUUUUG